rnacentral:tRNA from 1 species
AAGGCACUAGUAAAGAAGUUAUACCGCCUUGUCAAGGCGGAGUCGUGAGUUAGACCCUCACGUGUCUUA